UUUAGUACGUGGGAAACAAAAACAAUUUCUCACCUGCUUUUACGGAAUAAAAGAGGGUGAAUCCUUUCCUUCGAGACACGAGUACGAAAACUUUGUCAGCUGAAGAUGAAGAUAACUAUUACUGCCCUGUGCCUUCUUUUUCUGGCAACUGUUGCCUACGGAGAUGUAUUUUGUGGUGCCGGAUACUACUGUCCAGAUAAGACUACGUGCUGCCCUCACACACAGUUUGCAUUCACAUGUUGUGAAGCAGAAAAUGCUGUUUGCUGUGGUGACGAAGAAUUCUGCUGUAUGAGUGGCUUCGUGUGUGACUACGCAAUAAAAAGUUGUAGACGAUCUUACGAAGCCGUGUUUUCUCGUGUGAAGACUAGCCCUGCUAUUCAAUAAAAGAAUUCCAAGCUAGUUGUUUGCGAUGUUCGUUCACAUCAUUACGAUAACAAACGAUUUUGUUUUAUUGUAAUAUUAUGAAUUAAUAAUUAUAAACUUAUUAAAAGCCUGUGUUGUACAAUAUCUUGUUUACAUUCUUCCUCACUAAUUAUCUUCGAAAAAUUGUCUUAAAAACUUUGGAAGUAUAUUUUAACUUAAAAAUGCAUGCUAGUAGUACAAAAAAUGUGUAAAUGAAUUUAAGAACAUUUUAAGAGUUUUGGGAACAAAGUCAGAAACUUAAUUAGAGAACUACAAGUUUAAUAAAAAAGUAAAGUAAAUAAACAAAAAAAUGACGUUUUACUUCAUAGUUUAAACAAAAACAAAUUCCCAUUGCAAUUUCUGUUUGAUCAACAGAGCAAUAGCCCUACGGCCCAAUUCAGAUUUUUGCACAAUCUUUACACUUCUUUAUACCAGUACGAAACUUAGAAUAUUUGAAGAGGUUCUUAAGACAGUCACUUUCUGAUGUAAUGCAAAGCUGUAAACAAUAUGUUACCAUAGAAAUCCACGUUUGAUUUAAACCUUACAUUAUCUACAGUAUCCUCUGCUGUUGUUCAUACACUAUGUCUAACAACUCUUUCUUUCUGGUUUAAGCCUGAAGAACUGCUCCUGUGUAUAGUGAUAACGGUGUUUUGGGGUUUAUAUUAUUCUUGUGCAUGGUGACAACGGUGUUUCUGGGUUUAUGUUACUCCUGUGUAUAGUGAUAAUGGUGUUUCUGGGUUUAUGUUAUGCUUUACAGAAGUCGUUUCUUGCCAUUUAUGCAUUCCACUAUUAAACUUCAGCAAUUAAGCUACAAAAAUGCUUCCUGAUUUGUUGGUUUGACUGAUUAAUGUUUGGUGUUUAUUUCUUCAGAAAUCAUAUUAACUAGUUCCGUAAUUAACCGGAGACAUGCUACACCCAUUGCACCAUUAUCACUAUCCUUUUGAAAAGCACCCUAAAGUACUUGCCUUGUGUAUUACCAAAUGCGAGGAAUACAUCUCUUCCUUUAGUUUGAACUCUGAGAUCUGAGAUUUUCAGUAUUCAA